rnacentral:rRNA from 1 species
CCCAGACUCCUACGGGAGGCAGCAGUGGGGAAUAUUGGGCAAUGGGCGCAAGCCUGACCCAGCAACGCCGCGUGAAGGAAGAAGGCUUUCGGGUUGUAAACUUCUUUUGACAGGGAAGAGCAGAAGACGGUACCCCUUGAAUAAGCCACGGCUAACUACGUGCCAGCAGCCGCGGUAAUACGUAGGUGGCAAGCGUUGUCCGGAUUUACUGGGUGUAAAGGGCGUGCAGCCGGGAAGACAAGUCAGAUGUGAAAUCCCGCGGCUCAACCGCGGAACUGCAUUUGAAACUGUUUUUCUUGAGUAUCGGAGGGGUAAUCGGAAUUCCUAGUGUAGCGGUGAAAUGCGUAGAUAUUAGGAAGAACACCAGUGGCGAAGGCGGAUUACUGGACGACAACUGACGGUGAGGCGCGAAAGCGUGGGGAGCAAACAGGAUUAGAUACCCGCGUAU